UACGUAGGCAGCAAGCGUUGUUCGGAAUUACUGGGCGUAAAGAGUGUGUAGGCGGUGCUCUAAGUCUGUUGUGAAAUCUCCCGGCUUAACUGGGAGGGUGCGGCGGAAACUGGAGUGCUCGAGGGUGGGAGAGGUAAGCGGAAUUCCUGGUGUAGCGGUGAAAUGCGUAGAUAUCAGGAGGAACAUCUGUGGUGUAGACAGCUUACUGGACCACUUCUGACGCUGAGACACGAAAGCGUGGGUAGCAAACAGG
rnacentral:rRNA from 1 species